rnacentral:rRNA from 1 species
GACGAACCGAGCGAACGUUGUUCGGAAUCACUGGGCUUAAAGGGCGCGUAGGCGGGUGCUCAAGUCUGUGGUGAAAUCCUCCGGCUCAACCGGAGAACUGCCAUGGAUACUGGGUGUCUCGAGGGUGGUAGGGGUAUGCGGAACUAUUGGUGGAGCGGUGAAAUGCGUUGAUAUCGAUAGGAACUCCGGUGGCGAAGGCGGCAUACUGGACCACUUCUGACGCUGAGGCGCGAAAGCCAGGGGAGCAAACGGGG